rnacentral:rRNA from 1 species
GGAGCUUGCUCCGGUGGAUUAGUGGCGAACGGGUGAGUAACACGUGAGCAACCUGCCCUUCACUCUGGGAUAACUGCGGGAAACUGUAGCUAAUACCGGAUAUUAGGAUCUGAGGCAUCUCGGAUCUUGGAAAGAAUUUCGGUGAAGGAUGGACUCGCGGCCUAUCAGCUUGUUGGUGAGGUAAUGGCUCACCAAGGCGACGACGGGUAGCCGGCCUGAGAGGGUGACCGGCCACACUGGAACUGAGACACGGUCCAGACUCCUACGGGAGGCAGCAGUGGGGAAUAUUGCACAAUGGGCGCAAGCCUGAUGCAGCAACGCCGCGUGAGGGACGAAGGCCUUCGGGUUGUAAACCUCUUUUAGCAGGGAAGAAGCGAAAGUGACGGUACCUGCAGAAAAAGCACCGGCUAACUACGUGCCAGCAGCCGCGGUAAUACGUAGGGUGCAAGCGUUGUCCGGAAUUAUUGGGCGUAAAGAGCUCGUAGGCGGUUUGUCGCGUCUGCUGUGAAAACUGGAAGCUCAACUUCCAGCCUGCAGUGGGUACGGGCAGACUAGAGUGCGGUAGGGGAGAACGGAAUUCCUGGUGUAGCGGUGGAAUGCGCAGAUAUCAGGAGGAACACCGAUGGCGAAGGCAGUUCUCUGGGCCGUUACUGACGCUGAGGAGCGAAAGCGUGGGGAGCGAACAGGAUUAGAUACCCUG